rnacentral:other from 1 species
CGGAGCAGCCGCAGCUUGCAGCCCGUGGAGGACGCCCAGAGUGGCGAGCAGACUGACCGACAGACUCGCCCCACGUCCACCUGUCUGCUGCGGCCGGCCCAGAGCUCAGCGGGCACGCCGCGCGCGGAGCAGCCGUGCCCGCCGCCCCGGGCCGCCAGCCAGGGCGCGCACGCUCCGGCCCCCCCCACCCCCACCCCCACCCCCCAGGCGGCCCAGGAGGGAGUUUGCACCUCUCGCUGCCUGGGUACUCGGGCCGCCGCUGCAAAGCCAACUUUGGAAAAAGUUUUCGGGGGGGAGACUUUGGCGUUGAGGUGCCCGGCUCUAGCUUUCCGACUUCGGGACCCUUCCCAGAAAAUGUUGCAAAAAAGCUAAGCCAGCGGGCAGAGGAAGACGCCGUUAACCCGCAGCGAGAGAAGAGAGAAGACGAGCCAUCGACCGCCGCCUUCUUUUUCCUCUUGGAGGUUGGAGUCCCCUAGGCGCCCCCACACGGCUAGACACCUCGGCUGGUUCGCGACGCAGCCCCCCGGCCGUGGAUGCUCGCUCGGGCUCGGGAUCCGCCCAGGUAGUGGCCUCGGACCCUGGUCUCGCGCCCAGGCCCUCCCCAGUCCCCCAACAACGGAGCCGUGGG